rnacentral:tRNA from 1 species
GGGCGGAUAGCUCAAUGGGAGAGCUUCGGCUUUACACGCCGGAGGUUGCAGGUUCGAAUCCUGUUCCGCCCA